UACGGCCACGUCACGUUGAAACAUCGGUUCACGUACGAUCAGCGAAAUUAAGCAAUGUCGGGCCCAGUCAGUACUUAAAUUGGGUGACCGCUUGGGAAUAUAAGGUGCUGUAAG